UGUUACAAAUUUUAUGCAUUUCCUCUGUUAAAAAUCGGUUUGGCUAAUGAAAUAAUCAGAUUGUUACAACUGAUAUGUCACCGUGUACCUCAUACUAGCCUAUAAUGAUUAAUUUUUAACAAUAGAAUUAGAUGAAAUGUUUAAUA
rfam:Gossypium arboreum cultivar AKA8401 contig_20609_1, whole genome shotgun sequence.